rnacentral:rRNA from 14 species
AAUCUUGAAAAGACAAAAAGAAAAGAGGAAAAGAAACUGAAAUUAUCCUUCAUUAAUCUGGUGUAUUCGAAAGAAAAUCGGAAAUCUUUCAAGAAUCCUUCAUUUUUUCUUAUUAUUGGCUUCUAAACGCAUGUGUCUUCUUGAAUCAAAAAUCUAAAGAAUCCUGGAACCCUUGGAUAUAUUCUCGUAACAGUCUCGAUUUCAUUCACAACCUUAAGAACUUCAGAAAUUCAUUUAUUUUAUAAUCUACAACUUUUCUAUUGGCAUUCUUCAGGUUUUGGAAAAUGACUUCUUGAAACACGCA